GGUGGGGUUAGAUGGAACAAACGGGCACUUGCUUCCCUCAAGGUCAGAAGGCACAGCUCUGCUGUGUGCCACACCUCGGGGGAGAUGGGGGUGGGGGGCUGUGGUGCCUGGGAAUGAGCUUGCAAACCAGAGGGCAGUCGUGAGCUCUGAUGUGGUCCCUCAGGAAGCCUGCAGAGUCAGCACUGAGUGUGCUGGCUCAGCACUACCUGGCUGAGCCGUUUCCGGCUCACACAGAACAGCAGCCACCACACUGGGCAUCCUGUAAGGGCAGCUCACUCACUCCCAGAUAAUGAGGAGGAGCCUGAGGCCCAGAGGGAGGCCACAGUUUGCACAGUCUUCAGGGGAGGCACUGAACACCAAAUUCACAGUCGCGCUCCAGGUUCUUGGGUGACGGAAGAGCAGGUUCUGGGAGCACCUGGCAAGGAGAAGGUGGCUGCCUGCAAUCAAGAGAAGAACCUGCCUCUUCCAGAACUAGCAGUGAUUUCUCAGUGGGGAGGAGGCGGUGAUCUCCAGGUGCUCUUUUGUUAAGUGAACUCUGGAAGCCAAACAUGACGACCUGCCAGUGUCUUGAUGCCAUGAGCCGAUGGCCAGCAAAGAGCUCUCAGGAGCCCCCUCGCUGCUCAGCAGACUGGGAUUUCAGGAAGAAAAGGCCACAUCCCUUCCCAGGACACCAGGACCAGCAACUCCUGGCAGUGGCCUCUAGGCUGCAGUCUUUUCUGAAAAACACUUCCAGCGUCCUCGGCUUGAGGUCAGGCUGUGCAAGGGAGGCAGUGCCCUGUGGGUCCCCAGACGACGUGGAAACAUCAGCCUUGAACCCUCAAAGAUGAAACAUUCCCAUGGGGCCAGUCAAGAGGGGCUUCUGGCCCUCAAGGGGUGAGGGUUUCUGUUUCCCCUCUUGCUAGAGACCAUUUUGAAAAGUCUCACGAGACUCUCUGAGAUCUGCAUUUCAAGCUCCAAAAGGUCUUUGUUAACAGUUUUCAUCAGUUUGGUGCUAAUGAGGCUGAGUUUGGAGAUCUCAGUGCCAUCUCUGCCCCUGGGCAUCUGCUUCCUGUGCUGCUGCACUCUGAGGUCUGUAAGAGGCACGCUUCUCAGAGGAGAAAGACCACGUGAAAAGCAAAGUUGGGGGGAGAGCCCGGUGUGCAUUCAUGCAGGCACACAGGCGAUGGCGGGGGCCCAAGGUGGCCCGGGGAUUCUCCCCCAUCCCACCCAAGGGAAGAUGCUUUGAAAACCCCUCCCCUUGAGAGUGGGAGACCCUGUGAAUAUGACAGAAUGGCAUUCUCAUGAUUAGGUGACGUUCAAUGGAAAAGAAGAUGGGAUUUUGCAGAUGUGAUUAAGGUUUCUAAUCCAUUGGCUUUUAGUUAAUCAAAAGGGAGAUUAUCCUUGUAGAACUCAUCUAACCAAGUGAGCCCUUAAAGCUAACGUUUUCCAACUGGUCUUUUAAAAACCUGUCAGCCAUAUGCUGACAACCGUCCCUGGCGGGGGGGCACAGGGCAAAAACUCCAAGAGCUGAACAUGGCCCCAGAACACAACCACCAAGAGAGUUAUGGUCAUUAAAAAUGGAAUUGUGUCAACAACGUGAAUUAUCUUAGAAGAAGACCCUGAGCCUUAGAUGAGAGAGCUGCCCAGCAGGCACAUCUAAUGCCCUGGUCAAUGGUGGAAGACCAAAUGCGUCCCUCCUAAGAGCAGGAACACAGCAAUCAGUCCCCUCCCUGCAAGCCUCAGCCUGGCGAGGCCCUGAGAAGAGGGCCCGGGUAGCUCAGACACGGACUCCUGACUCACAGGGACUGUGUGAUAUUCAAUGAUAUCAUAUUAUUCAUUCAUAUUGUUAUGUAGCUGUAUAGUAAUAUCAUAAACAUUCAUUCAUAUUAUUA